rnacentral:rRNA from 1 species
AUUGAACGCUGGCGGUAGGCCUAACACAUGCAAGUCGAACGCGAAAGUCCUUCGGGAUGAGUAGAGUGGCGGACGGGUGAGUAACGCGUAGGAAUCUAUCCUGUAGUGGGGGAUAACGUUUCGAAAGGAACGCUAAUACCGCAUACGCCCCAAGGGGGAAAGCGGGGGAUCUUCGGACCUCGUGCUAUAGGAGGAGCCUGCGUCGGAUUAGCUAGUUGGUGAGGUAAAGGCUCACCAAGGCGACGAUCCGUAGCUGGUCUGAGAGGAUGAUCAGCAACACCGGAAAUGAGACACGGUCCGGACUCCUACGGGAGGCAGCAGUGGGGAAUAUUGCGCAAUGGGCGAAAGCCUGACGCAGCCAUACCGCGUGUGUGAAGAAGGCCUUCGGGUUGUAAAGCACUUUCAGUGGGGAGGAAAAGCUGGUGGCUAAUAUCCAUCGGCCGUGACGCUACCCACAGAAGAAGCACCGGCUAAUUCCGUGCCAGCAGCCGCCGUAAUAC